rnacentral:rRNA from 1 species
UACGUAGGGUGCAAGCGUUAAUCGGAAUUACUGGGCGUAAAGCGUGCGCAGGCGGUUGUGCAAGACAGAUGUGAAAUCCCCGGGCUCAACCUGGGAAUUGCAUUUGUGACUGCACGGCUAGAGUGUGUCAGAGGGGGGUAGAAUUCCACGUGUAGCAGUGAAAUGCGUAGAGAUGUGGAGGAAUACCGAUGGCGAAGGCAGCCCCCUGGGAUAACACUGACGCUCAUGCACGAAAAGCGUGGGGGAGCAAACAGG